rnacentral:rRNA from 1 species
GACGAACGCUGGCGGCGUGCUUAACACAUGCAAGUCGAACGAUGAAGGGGAGCUUGCUUCCUGGAUUAGUGGCGAACGGGUGAGUAACACGUGAGUAACCUGCCCUGGACUCUGGGAUAACUCCGAGAAAUCGGUGCUAAUACCGGAUAGGACCUGGAACCGCAUGGUUUUGGGUGGAAAGUUUUUCGGCUGGGAUGGAC